rnacentral:lncRNA from 1 species
CUGCUGGAGGCUACAGGAAAUGUUCCUAUAAAGACUGAAAAGUCAUUUCAGAUCAAUUUGGGAAACAUCUACAUGGCAAAAGAGGUUGCUAAUGCUCUUAGAACAAGCUUGCAACCAAAAGGAAAGGAUAAAAAAGUAAAAAUAGAAAAGGUGAUAUGACCAUUACAUAUGAUGCUGUUACCAUUGUGAAACAAAUGUAAGGGUUACAUCCAGCAGCCAGAAUCCUAGCGGUGCUGUCUAAGGCUCCAAGAUAUAGAAGCCGGAGAUGACCACAUCAGUGGUCAUUAUUGCUGGAUCUCUCUUAUAUUCUUAUAAUAAGCUUCUUCAGAAAAGAAUUCAUCUAGCCAUCAUCUCUGAGUCAUUCUAGAAGGCUUUGGGAAAUGGUAUUAAAAUUAUAACUGACAUGUCUUAACAUAUGGAAGUAAAUGACAAAGAAACAUUUUAAAAUAGUACAACCAAUUUAUUGAACUCAAUGCUUAUUAUUCAGCAUUCCAGUUUAAUUUCUCCAAUGAGUGUAAAUACAGUGAUUUGAUAUGGAUCUAGCCACAGCUACCACUGUGGAUCUUAGGGAUAUUAAAAUAGUUAAGUAACUUGGCAGGACAAUUGAUUGCAGUGAGUUAGUGAAAGGGAUUAUCACCCAAAAGGUGGAAAAUUCUGGGAUAGCCAGAGUUGAAAAGGCUAAAAUUGGGCUUAUUCAGUUUUGCUUCUCUGCUCCCAGAAGAGAUGGAUAAUCAAAUAGUUUCAGACUUACCCACGUGGAACAAGUGCUGUGAAAAGAAAGACUAAUACUAAAUUUAGUAAAAAAAAAAAAAAACUGGAGAUAACAUCCUGCUCACACAGAAGUCUCUUCUAAUUGGUGCUCUUAGUGAUCUUGAAUUACACUUUCUAAACAAAAUGAAGAUUAUGGUGAUUAAGGAUAUUGAAAAAGAAGGCAUUGAAUUUAUUUGUAAAACAAUUGGAAACAAGCCAGUUGCUUAUAUUGACUAAUUCACUACUAACAUGCUGGGAGCUGCUCCUUUAGCCAAAGGGGUCAAUUUAAAUAGUUCUGGCAAAUUGCUUAAGACUGCAGGCUGUGCAGGCCCUGGAAAAGCAGUUAUAGUUGUUGUUCAUGAUUCUAAUAAACUGAUGAUUGGAAAGCUAAAUGCUCCAUUUAUGAUGCCCUCUGUUUUAUUUCCUAUUUAGUGAAGAAUAGAGCUCUUAUUAUAAGAUAUGGUGCUCCAGAAAUCAGAGUAGCUCUAAAAUUACCUGAAUAUUCCUGAAUAUUGAGAGGUAUAGAAUCCUACUGCAUUUAUGACUUUACAGAUGAUAUGGAGGUAACUUCAUUUACACUAGCUAAAAACACUGGCCUGAAUCACAUUUCUUCAUUAGCAGAAAUAGGAAAUCAAUAUCUACAAGAAGUAAAUACUGUAGGCAUUACUGUCCAAAAGGGUGACAUUCUUAACAUUUUAGAAGAAAUUAUUGCCCAACCUCUGUUGGUUUCAAUUGGUGUUCUGACUUUAGCAACUGAAAGUCUCUGAGGCAUUCUAAAACUGGAUGAUAUGGCAAACA